rnacentral:misc_RNA from 1 species
AACUUUUGGCAACGGAUCACUUGGCUUUCGCAUCGAUGAAGGACGCCGCGAAAGUGCGAAACGUAAUGUGAAUUGCAGAAUUCAGAGAAUCAUCGAAUCUUUGAACGCAUCUUGCGCCCCUUGGUAUUCCGAGGGGCAUGCCUGUUUGAGCGUCGUGAACUUCAAUCGACCCUGGGGCCUUGUAAUGAGGCCUCGGGGCGGAUUUGGGCGUUGCGGGUCCCGUCUGCGGUCCGCUCGUCUUGAAAUGCAUCAGCCGGUCUCUAAUGCCUCGGUCUUGCGGCGGCGUGAUAAGGUGCUCGUGCCGUAAUCGUCGUCCGUGGUCGGGGGUAAGGGGCGGCUUCUAAUGGUCUUCGGACGCUUCAUUUGCGAUCUGACCUCAAAUCAGGUAGGACUACCCGCCGAACUUAAGCAUAUCAAUAAGCGGAGGCU